GCUUGACUCGGCCCGCGUCCAGCUCCACGCGCAGAGUGUCCGCUGACUGCUGAGACGUGGUGGCCACCAGUAGGCCAAAGGCCCUCUGGGACAUAAAACGCAGGGACACGUCCUCGGCCUCCGUGUGCAGCGUCCUCUGAAGCAUCACCUUCAGCAGAUGGCAGAAAAAGCCUGGAGCAUUCAGUCAGUCAGUGGGAGCAAAAGCGGCAGCAUUCACAUUUAUGACAGAUGCAGACAUUGUGAAGCAAGGUGACGAGUUGGGCCCCAGGUAGCCGGUGCCAUUACAGUCGCAAAUGUGUCGGUUCCAGCCCUCCUUGCAAUGACCACCGUUGGCGCACGUGUCUCGGCCGCACCUGGCAUGAGUCUCCCUGGUGCACAGGCUGCUGACCCCUGCGGCGCCCUGAACCUCGCUCAGCCUCCACAGGUUGCGACUCUGGCCGUCAAUGAAAAGGUCCCGCACGCAGCCCACGUAGCCCAGGCCCAGGGAGGCGGUCCACACCUCUGGAGGAAGCAUGAGACCUUGGCGGUCGUCGGGAAGACCCCCCAGGUACAUGUCCCCGUCCAGGUCGAGGAUCUCGCUGCCCUCAUUGGCUGAAAACGGGAUGCGCUUGCUGUUCACCGAAAUAAAGCCUGCAGGGACAGAACCACAGCCAGUUGCAUUAUCACUCCUGCCAAGAAGAGAAUAUUCUCGUCAUGAGUCAUUCAAGAAUAUUGACUGAGCCCCUUUACCCACCCAUUUUGGCCAUUUUGGAUUAUCCUAAUGUUCUACUUUAAGUGAGAGUUCAUUUUGGUGAUGUAAUAAUAGAACAUCACAAUCCCAUUCAAUAAGUGCAACUGUGAAAUUGGUGAAAUAAUUGAAAUUAAAAAAGCCCAUUGCAUAUGCAUGCAU